UGGCUAACAACUGGAGAUAUCAUGAUCACGAAGGUGGUUUUCCCAGGGUGAUGCUCAUCCAUUGCACUGCGGGUGUGCUGACCCCUGCGAUUUCCCCAAAUGCAGGAAACUCGACUGCAUAAUUUGUGGUAGCGGGGGACUGCGUUCGCGCUCAA
rnacentral:snRNA from 1 species